UACGAAGGGGGCUAGCGUUGUUCGGAAUUACUGGGCGUAAAGCGCGUGUAGGCGGGUCUUUAAGUCAGGGGUGAAAUGCCAAGGCUCAACCUUGGAACUGCCUUUGAUACUGGAGACCUUGAGUCCGGGAGAGGUGAGUGGAAUUGCGAGUGUAGAGGUGAAAUUCGUAGAUAUUCGCAAGAACACCAGGUGGCGAAGGCGGCUCACUGGCCCGGAACUGACGCUGAGACGCGA
rnacentral:rRNA from 1 species